UACGUAGGGGGCUAGCGUUGUCCGGAAUCAUUGGGCGUAAAGCGCGUGUAGGCGGUCCGGUAAGUCCGCUGUGAAAGUCGGGGGCUCAACCCUCGGAUGCCGGUGGAUACUGUCGGGCUUGAGUACGGGAGAGGUGAGUGGAACUCCGAGUGUAGAGGUGAAAUUCGUAGAUAUGUCACAGAACACCGAUUGCGAAGGCAGCUCACUAAAGUGUGAUUGACACUGAGGCACGAAAGCGUGGGGAUCAAACAGG
rnacentral:rRNA from 1 species